AAGGAGCUUGCUCCUUUGACGUUAGCGGCGGACGGGUGAGUAACACGUGGAUAACCUACCUAUAAGACUGGGAUAACUUCGGGAAACCGGAGCUAAUACCGGAUAAGAUUUUGAACCGCAUGGUUCAAUAGUGAAAGACGGCCUUGCUGUCACUUAUAGAUGGAUCCGCGCCGUAUUAGCUAGUUGGUAAGGUAACGGCUUACCAAGGCAACGAUACGUAGCCGACCUGAGAGGGUGAUCGGCCACACUGGAACUGAGACACGGUCCAGACUCCUACGGGAGGCAGCAGUAGGGAAUCUUCCGCAAUGGGCGAAAGCCUGACGGAGCAACGCCGCGUGAGUGAUGAAGGUCUUCGGAUCGUAAAACUCUGUUAUCAGGGAAGAACAAACGUGUAAGUAACUGUGCACGUCUUGACGGUACCUGAUCAGAAAGCCACGGCUAACUACGUGCCAGCAGCCGCGGUAAUACGUAGGUGGCAAGCGUAUCCGGAAUUAUUGGGCGUAAAGCGCGCGUAGGCGGUUUUUUAAGUCUGAUGUGAAAGCCCACGGCUCAACCGUGGAGGGUCAUUGGAAACUGGAAAACUUGAGUGCAGAAGAGGAAAGUGGAAUUCCAUGUGUAGCGGUGAAAAUGCGCAGAAUAUGGAGGAACACCAGUGGCGAAGGCGACUUUCUGGUCUGUAACUGACGCUGAUGUGCGAAAGCGUGGGGGAUCAAACAGGAUUAGAUACCCCUGGUAGUCCAC
rnacentral:rRNA from 1 species